GGGAUUGCCCUAGUAACGGCGAGUGAAGCGGCAACAGCUCAAAUUUGAAAUCUGGCCUUCUUUGGGGGUCCGAGUUGUAAUUUGCAGAGGGCGCUUUGGCGUCGGCAGCGGUCUAAGUUCCUUGGAACAGGACGUCACAGAGGGUGAGAAUCCCGUACGUGGUCGCCUGCCUUCGCCGUGUAAAGCCCCUUCGACGAGUCGAGUUGUUUGGGAAUGCAGCUCUAAAUGGGAGGUAAAUUUCUUCUAAAGCUAAAUACUGGCCAGAGACCGAUAGCGCACAAGUAGAGUGAUCGAAAGAUGAAAAGCACUUUGGAAAGAGAGUCAAACAGCACGUGAAAUUGUUGAAAGGGAAGCGCUUGCCGCCAGACUUGCCCGUGAAGGUUCUCCUCCUCGGGCAGGCCAGCAUCAGUUUGAGCGAUCGGAUAAUGGCCUCUGUCAUGUAUCUUCCUUCGGGAUGACCUUAUAGGGGAGUCGUAGUACGGUCAGCUCGGACUGAGGUCCGCGCAUUUGCUAGGAUGCUGGCGUAAUGGCUGCAAGCGGCCCGUCUUGAAACACGGACCAAGGAGUCUAACAUCUAUGCGAGUGUUUGGGUGUCAAGCCCGAGCGCGCAAUGAAAGUGAACGGAGGUGGGAACCCUCUCUGGGGGUGCACCAUCGACCGAUCCUGAAGUCUUCGGAUGGAUUUGAGUAAGAGCAUGGCUGUUGGGACCCGAAAGAUGGUGAACUAUGCUUGAAUAGGGUGAAGCCAGAGGAAACUCUGGUGGAGGCUCGCAGCGGUUCUGACGUGCAAAUCGAUCGUCAAAUUUGGGCAUAGGGGCGAAAGACUAA
rnacentral:rRNA from 1 species